AUUAUUCGUAGCCAGCUCACUCAGUUAGUGUCAGCCCGCCGAAACGACAGUGCACGCAAAUCGAAAGAGUCCGGUCUUCGUUGAAACGAAAAACUUAGCCGUCCAUCUUGUGAAGUUUGGUAGGAUAACCGCGUGUGGUUCCUCGAGUGAAAUUAGUGCCAGGCAGGAGGCCCACCAUUUGAUUCCAGCCAAGGGAAAUAGAGCGCACAGAGGGACACACGGACCACCAUUUUGCAUUUCGGUUUGCAGAAACCACGUUGCCCAGGGUAAAAA